UGCCAGCCGCCGCGGUAAUACGGAGGGGGUUAGCGUUGUUCGGAAUUACUGGGCGUAAAGCGCACGUAGGCGGACUGGAAAGUUGGGGGUGAAAUCCCAGGGCUCAACCCUGGAACUGCCUCCAAAACUAUCAGUCUAGAGUUCGAGAGAGGUGAGUGGAAUUCCGAGUGUAGAGGUGAAAUUCGUAGAUAUUCGGAGGAACACCAGUGGCGAAGGCGGCUCACUGGCUCGAUACUGACGCUCAGGCACGAAAGCAUGGGGAGCGAAAGGGAUUAGAUA
rnacentral:rRNA from 1 species